ACAGCGAAUGCCGGUGGUAAACACUCUUGUUCCAAUACUCGUGCACGAGUUUUGGGAGGCGUUCCCUUGAAAUGAGCUGUGAAGGAGGGGGGUUGUUCUUACGCAUGCGAUCCUCUUUUGCACCUUUAACAGUGGGUUUGGGUUUGAAGUUUAGUUAACAGUGCCACCAAAAUCUUGGGACAGUAAUAUUUAUUUAUUAGUUUUUUUAUAUGGCUUUCUUGAAUUCUUGAUUCUGAUUCAUUAAACCGUUGUCACCUGCAACUGUCUCCUACACUGCACUUCACACUCUUUCUUCACACAUAAUAAGAUAAUAAAUAUAAUUUCAACUCGAAUCAACAUUUAAUAUCUAGUCAUUUACAUAUUUGAUCAUUAACACAGCUCAUGUAAGAAGGCAGGCAUGCGAUUUUGUUUUGUGCAGGUGUGGAAAAACACAAUCUGUUGGGCACAAACCCAAAUUCCAAAGCCAAAGAGACACUUAGUCUCAUUUAAAAUGUGCAUUUGUAAUCGUUAACACAUCCUGAAAGUGUUUGUUUUUACUGAUUUAAAAAAUUCAGUGAGGCAGUCAACUGUCACAAUGUUUACUUUAGUUUAGAUCAGCCUAAAAUUAGGGGUUUCAAAUACAGAUUAUAUAAAUCAAUGUAACCGAGCUACAUUUGAAAUGUUUUUAAUUAUAUAGUGUACAUAAUAUAUUAUUAAAAAUAUUAAAUAUAUAGAAAUAUAUAUAAAAUAUUAAAUAUAUAGACAGUCCUAUAUUAACGUGCGUGGGCUUGUUAUUAAAAGUAGGACUGUCUGUAAACUCUACAGUAAUUUAAUUCUGAAGGCCACAUACAUAUUUUCCACCUUUGAUUUUUCUCCAUGUUCAAUGACACCUCAGAGUGCCCUCUUCUCUCUGUUCUCUGAAUACAUUCAUUGGAAUAAAACAACUCAUCCAAUUUAUGUCUAGAAACACGAAUAUUUCACAGUGACUCAUAACAACUGAACGUCGGAUGCACGCCUCAGGCUUUAAUGUAGUUUUACUUCCUUGACUGAAUAAAGAAGAAAAUAUGCUUCCAAACUUAGUAACUCAAGCUGUCACAUUGAAUUCUGUCCCAAAAAACUUGUUUCUGACUUAUGUUUUGGAUUUUCUUGUUAGAUAGGAAGGUGUAGACGAACAUGAUUAAAGAUUUGUUAAUAUGUAUUGCUUGUUUAAAGUACAUUUAAAUGGGCUCUGGAGUGGAGGUGGUCCAAUUUGUAGCUUCUUUAACGCCCACAGCUGCUCAGAGCCACAGAGAGGAGCAAAUGGUUCCUUUGUUUUUAUGUUCUGCGCUGCAUUAAGGCUUUUUGCACAAGAGCCUCUUUUGAACUUAGAAAGAAAAUGAGCAUAAUUCACUUUAGGAAGAAGUCAUUCUGCCAUAGGCAAUCUGCUCACACAGAAGCAAUGCGGUUAAAACAUUUAUGUUUACUGAAAUGGAUAGAAAGAACUGGUCCAAUAAAUAUCUGUUUGUUAAAAUCAGUCAUGGUGGUUUUGGGUGGGGUGGGAGAAGUAUUAAUUCUCAUAAAUUAAUUCACUUGUUAAAUUAAAUGCAUAGAAUGCUAAGAUUAUAAUUAAUGAAAUAAUUAGCUUGUAAUACUAUUAAUAAUGAUUACAAAUAGAACAAAAUGAAUGUAAAUGUGUCAAAAAUAUUUAAUUAAGCGAGGGAUUGCUUAUCUGAAUUUCAUAUUAUUUAGUGAGGGAUCAUCCAUUUAAUUUUUAGUCUUUUUUGCAUAUAUUGCUAUGAUUUGGUUGCCUGAUAGAAAGGCAUUGUGGAAAGAAAGAAUAACUUUUGAGUUCUUAUAUAUGAGAGACAAUGAGGCUGUGAGGAAGAGCAAUACUGCCACCUGCAGUAAUAUUUAGGGCAUGGAAAGAAAUAUUAGCUGUUCUUUUUUUCUUUCAAUAACCUUCCGUUCCUGACCCGAUGCAAAACUUUAGUCAUUCUUCCGCUUGCUUCAUUUCUUCAUGGUUUUAAAACAGAAAUGCAUCAUUUCACGGGCCCUUUUGAAACCGGAAGGGUGGUUUAUACAGGCUCAAAUUGCCCUGAAGGGAUGUUAUGGAAUCUUGGUCAUGGUCCUUGAUGUUCAGCCUUAUUGGAUCAGAAUGUAUUCUGCAGCUACACUGCAAGGGCUGCUUUUUUGUCGGUGUCUUUUGAAUUAUUAGUUUGGUGUAAAUAUUUGGUUACGUAACUACCAAGUGCACCCGCGUAAUUCUCGCGUCAUAGGCAUGUGAUUGCACAUGAUUGGCGCUUGUGUGAGUUCGGAGAGUUGUUGCUAACUGAAAUGUAGGCCUUCGCCUUUUUACUUGCUGCCUCUUCCUUGCUUGUUCGUUGUCUUUGCCCAGACAUGGCAUUUCACAAACCACUACGUAUACCUCUCUUAGCCCCCCACCCCACCCCCACCCUUUGGUACGUUGUUUGUUUUUGUUUUUUUUCCUGGAGGGGAGGGGGGAAUGUUUUUUUCUUGCAUCUUUCUCACCUUUCUCACCCCUGAUGUGUUUGCAUCCCUGGUAUAUAAACAACACUCAUCAAUGUCAAAGUCUUUGAGAUCAAAUCAAAGCUGGUGGGCUUUGAUUUGGCACAGAAGUCAAGCAUUCCAGCAUGAGGUAAGAAGCAAGUUAAAUAUUUGACAACUGUUUUAAGAUAGAAAUGUUAAAUGAUUGACAUUAAUAGGGAAAUUUGACUACUUUUCAGUAAAAUUUCGCUCUUUUGAAAAAUUUAUGUGAUUCAUGUAAGUAACUGAAUGUGACAAGACACGAAACAUUAAUGGAGUCAUUUUCAGCAUAUUGCGACUUAAAUUUUAAUGGUUCUCGACCCGCUUGAAUUGCCUGCCCCGUUGUACUCACAAUCUUCUGCUGACUGGGAUUUUUAAGGGAAAUUUGUGCAGGUUGGCUUACACAGUGUAAUAUAUCCACAUAGAAUAUAAAUAAUGAGUUUUGCCAUUGUUAGAUUUAAAUAUCUUCAUGUUGUAUGUUCACAGUUCAGUUUGCCUGUGCUGAAGGGCUCCCACCCUGUAAAACUGUCUCUCAGUUGGAAUGGCACAUUAUGGACAGCUCGGUAUCAGUGCAAUUCCUCCUCUUAUGGAGUGAGAGGGAGCAGACAUGUCACAGACAAUGAUGUGGAGUGGUGCAGUACUGGGGUGAUGGUGAUACCGUUGAGCUCUUGUCACUCUGCUGAAGGAGGAAGUCGUGUGUCAGGGCAGAGAAUGAAUCUGGACCAUAUGGCACUUUAAUGGUCUGCGUGAGGGUCUUGUGUCCUGGAUAUGUCACCUGUAGACAAAGCAACAACCUGUAGUUAAAACUAUGUAUAAAUGAGUGUUUAUUUGAAUGUAAAACAAACGAGGAAAGCAUGUAUCUGACACCAAAUCCCUGUGAGUUUCUGGGAGGGAGAAUUUUACUCCAUUUUAGCUUUUCUGGCAAAAUAACAAUUAGUAGUUUUGUGAGCAGCUGGAGACAAACGACCAGUAACAUGUCUACAUAAUCACGUGUGUGCUCCUUUAUUCAGUCAUGACUGUAAAGCUGUUAAUGAUGUAUGUUAAUUUGUCCAUGUAGAUUUGUGUUUAGUCUGUGGGGAUGAAGUGUAUGUCUGCGUUCCAAAUCAUAAAUGGCUUUAAUGUGAUGCGAG